AGAAUUUAAUUACAUUUUAUCAGUAAGUUCAACAACGUCAAAUAAUUAGUAAAUUCUACCCAAUGGGAACUCUUUGCUUUUAACUGCCGUACACUUCCGCCCCAGCCAGAAACUGCUCCACACGACCGUUGGUUGAAGUGUGUUACUGCCUGUGGAAUGCAAUUUUAUUCAAGAUCCAGGAUGAGUUUCACCAAAUUACAACUGGAACUGCAUCUGGAAUGAAAGUUCAUGUCCAGGCUGGACGAAUACUCUCCUAGGCUUCUGAACCUUUUCCACUCAAAGGGUGGGGCCAUCGGAUUAAGGUUGUGGACUGUCCUACUGAAGGCUCCUAGCAAUCCUACUGUCAGCUUGACGUGAGACCUUGUCAUCCAGUGUUUGAUGUUGUACUUUGGGGAAUCUGCAGUUCCGCUCUUUACAGAGUAUUGUGAUGCAGAUGAAGACCAUGUGGCACAGAACCUUUCUGGACAAGCAAUGAAGAUCUACAGCAUCAAAACUGAUCCAUCAGAGGAUAAAGAGGACAUUGGUAUUGCGAUAGAUGGAACAAAGGUCCUAGCUAACCUGGGCAACUUUCUAAGGGCUCGUGCCAUGCUCAAGGUUGUGACUUAUGCAUUGACUCUUGUGUACCCCAAGGAGGUCAGGUACACUUUUGAAGCCUUUCAGAAACUCUUCCUCGAGCUGGAUGGGUCAAAGCUUUCCCCAAAAGUACACAACCUCAAGAGCAAGUUACUGGCUACUUGAGGGCACAGAAUUUUGUGCUGCAUGUAAGUCUUCAGGACUUGUUCAGAAAAACAAAUGUUAUUGACAUUGAUUUGAAGGAUAUGAUGUAAUGCUUUUGACAAUGACAAAUGUUUUGAAAAUGCAGAGCUUCUUGAUUUGACUAUGAGGACUUUGCCACCAGCUUAGGAUCUAUGGAUAUCAGUGACAGAAUACAGUCCACUUUCACUUUAAACCACCUCACAGUUCCAAUAUGAAGAUCGACAAAAUUGUUUGACCUUCAUCUGUUUUGUGCAACUCUUAAUUUGUAAGCGCUUGCUGUACAGAUCUGACACUAAGAAGUCAACCUGUGCAAUUGUUCUGCCUCAAAUACAGGGUGUCUUUGUUUGCCUACAGAAAUACUUUAUCACUCUGGUUGUGGGCCUCAAAGUUCUUGCCACUCUUGAAAACCAUUUGAAAACAAAUCUUUUUUUCUGAUGUAGUGUUUUUUGUUCACUGUCACAUGUCUGAGUUUCAGUGUUGCAUUUCGUAAAAAAGUCAGUUUUUCAUACUUAUUGAGGGGCUUGCUUUUGUGACUCUGCUGUGUACACCAGGGAUACAUAAUUGUUGCAUGUUUUUAAUAGAGGAAUUUUGAAUUGGCACAAAUAAAUUAUUCACUUUGUACUUUUAAAUUUUACACAAACAUGGUUUAA